rnacentral:rRNA from 1 species
GCCGUGGGGGGCAUGACUUACCAUGCAGUCGAACGGCAGCAUGAUCUAGCUUGCUAGAUUGAUGGCGAGUGGCGAACGGGUGAGUAAUACAUCGGAACGUGCCCUGUAGUGGGGGAUAACUAGUCGAAAGAUUAGCUAAUACCGCAUACGACCUGAGGGUGAAAGUGGGGGACCGCAAGGCCUCAUGCUAUAGGAGCGGCCGAUGUCUGAUUAGCUAGUUGGUGGGGUAAAGGCCCACCAAGGCGACGAUCAGUAGCUGGUCUGAGAGGACGAUCAGCCACACUGGGACUGAGACACGGCCCAGACUCCUACGGGAGGCAGCAGUGGGGAAUUUUGGACAAUGGGCGAAAGCCUGAUCCAGCAAUGCCGCGUGUGUGAAGAAGGCCUUCGGGUUGUAAAGCACUUUUGUCCGGAAAGAAAUGGCUCUGGUUAAUACCUGGGGUCGAUGACGGUACCGGAAGAAUAAGGACCGGCUAACUACGUGCCAGCAGCCGCGGUAAUACGUAGGGUCCAAGCGUUAAUCGGAAUUACUGGGCGUAAAGCGUGCGCAGGCGGUUGUGCAAGACCGAUGUGAAAUCCCCGAGCUUAACUUGGGAAUUGCAUUGGUGACUGCACGGCUAGAGUGUGUCAGAGGGGGGUAGAAUUCCACGUGUAGCAGUGAAAUGCGUAGAGAUGUGGAGGAAUACCGAUGGCGAAGGCAGCCCCCUGGGAUAACACUGACGCUCAUGCACGAAAGCGUGGGGAGCAAACAGGAUUAGAUACCCUGGUAGUCCACGCCCUAACGAUGUCAACUAGUUGUUGGGGAUUCAUUUCCUUAGUAACGUAGCUAACGCGUGAAGUUGACCGCCUGGGGAGUACGGUCGCAAGAUUAAAACUCAAAGGAAUUGACGGGGACCCGCACAAGCGGUGGAUGAUGUGAUUAAUUCGAUGCAACGCGAAAAACCUUACCUACCCUUGACAUGCCACUAACGAAGCAGAGAUGCAUUAGUGCUCGAAAGAGAAAGUGACACAGUGCUGCAUGCUGUCGUCAGCUCGUGUCGUGAGAUGUUGGGUUAAGUCCCGCACGAGCGCACCCUGUCUC